rnacentral:rRNA from 1 species
UACAGAGGGUGCAAGCGUUGUUCGGAAUUACUGGGCGUAAAGCGCGUGUAGGCUGCGGAGUAAGUCGGAUGUGAAAUCCCUUGGCUUAACCAAGGAAGUGCAUCCGAUACUGUUUCGCUUGAGUGUCGGAGGGGGUGGCGGAAUUCCCGGUGUAGAGGUGAAAUUCGUAGAUAUCGGGAGGAACACCUGUGGCGAAGGCGGCCACCUGGACGACAACUGACGCUGAGACGCGAAAGCG